UACGUAGGGUGCAAGCGUUAAUCGGAAUUACUGGGCGUAAAGCGUGCGCAGGCGGUGAUGUAAGACAGAUGUGAAAUCCCCGGGCUCAACCUGGGAACGGCAUUGGAAACUGGCUUACUAGAGUGCGGUAGAGGGGUGUGGAAUUCCCGGUGUAGCAGUGAAAUGCGUAGAUAUCGGGAGGAACAUCUGUGGCGAAGGCGACACCCUGGACCAGCACUGACACUGAGGCACGAAAGCGUGGGGAGCAAACAGG
rnacentral:rRNA from 1 species